AAGAUAUGAGAGACAGUAAGUGGGACAUCACAGAAGCCCACAAUGUCACAUGAUGCUAAAAUGUCUCUCUCGGCUGCUGCCACUGCUCGCAAACAGAGGAAGACCCGAAGCAACAGGGUCAAGUUUUGAGGAGAAGUAGGCAACAGGCCUAAGUUGUCCUCCAUGAAGAUGACACAAAACUGAUGUCAUUUAACAGUCCUUCUGGUCUAUGAACAGAGUCUACGGUAAGUCGGGUCUCAGCAGGCCCAGAGUCGGGGCCUGUGAUAAGGAAGUCUUUAAGUCCUGAAAAGCCUUUUCAGCUUCAGUAGUCCAAGUCAGUUUGUCAUGCGCGCUGAGGCCUUUACCGUGGACCAUGAACGAGAGAGGUGCCUCUCUUUCUGAAUAAAUAGGGAUCCACUGUCUACAGUAUGAAGUCAUCCCCAAAAAACUCAUCAUUCGUUUUUUUUUUGUUUUUGGUACCAAUUGAAUUGCCCCAAUACGUUUGGGAGAGAGGGAUUUUGCCCUCAGCUGUGAUCACAUGUCCCCGAUAAGUCACUUGUUCUAGAGCAAAUUUAAGUUUUUCAUAGGCAAGCCUUAUUUCCGUUCUCUGCCAAAUGUUUAAGUAGCCAAAUUGUAUCAAUUUUACAAGCCUCCUUUGAUGGGCUGCAAAUCAUCAUAUCAGCCACAUAAUUUAGAUGGGCCGACCCUGCAGGGAGUUAUAAAUUAUGUAGAUGUUCCUAAGCGCUUCUGUGGAAUACACCUGACUUCUGUGGUAACCCACUGGACAUCCUAUCCAUUUAUAGCCGCGCCCAAAAAAGAAAAAAAAAACAAACCAACUUAUGUCUUCUUGUUUGGGAGGCUAUACAAGUCUGCGUGUUAUGUGUAUUCCUCAACGAGCUCUACUGUUCUGUGUACACUUACUCGUGUGAUCAACGUAGUGCGAUCUACAUUACCACUAGCGCUAUAUUCUUCAUGAGGAUCCUCUGCACCCGGUCUGAACUUUAGGCCGAGACACACCCAUGCAACCAUGGACCAAGAUCCUGUAUCCCAGUGAGAUGGUUUAGCCAAUGAAAUGUGGAGUAGAAUCGAGGAACACCUUUUUUCCUUUGGGAAGGAGAGAGAGAUACAGACACCGCAGCAGCCUCCUCUGACCAAUACACAUGCUU
ensembl:lncRNA